rnacentral:rRNA from 1 species
UGGGGAAUAUUGCACAAUGGGCGCAAGCCUGAUGCAGCCAUGCCGCGUGUAUGAAGAAGGCCUUCGGGUUGUAAAGUACUUUCAGCGAGGAGGAAGGCGUUGUGGUUAAUAACCGCAGCGAUUGACGUUACUCGCAGAAGAAGCACCGGCUAACUCCGUGCCAGCAGCCGCGGUAAUACGGAGGGUGCAAGCGUUAAUCGGAAUUACUGGGUGUAAAGCGCACGCAGGCGGUCUGUCAAGUCGGAUGUGAAAUCCCCGGGCUCAACCUGGGAACUGCAUCCGAAACUGGCAGGCUAGAGUCUUGUAGAGGGGGGGUAGAAUUCCAGGUGUAGCGGUGAAAUGCGUAGAGAUCUGGAGGAAUACCGGUGGCGAAGGCGGCCCCCUGGACAAAGACUGACGCUCAGGUGCGAAAGCGUGGGGAGCAAACA